rnacentral:lncRNA from 1 species
AAUAUUUAUGUCUAAUGUGACCAGUGUUAUAAAUGUAUAUCAAAACUGAGAAUACCAAAUAUAGACAGCCACUUAUAUCAGGACACACCUUGCUCGGUUUUUUGGAGGCAAUAGUAACAAGGAAAAAGAUUCCAAUCAAAAUGUCAUUUAUUAAAAACGACGAUCAAAAUUAUUUACAACAACAGGGGAGUUAAUCUUACAAAUGGUAACAUUUAAAUGCCCCUGAUUUAACUCCCCUGAUAAAAAGCCAGCCUACAAAAAAGGUGGCGUACAAAAAAGGCAAGGCCGUGUACAAAUAAAAAGCCAGCCUACAAAAAAGGUGGCGUACAAAAAAGGCCAUACAAAAAAGACAAAUAAAUUAAAAUAGGCCACUAACAAAAGGUGGCGUAUAAAAAAACCCAACAUAACCACGAUCAACAAAGUGGUAAAAUAUCAUAUUAAUAAAGAAAAUAAAUUUAAAAACAAAUUAUAAAACCCACCUCGUUUAUACAAGGUGGUAAGUUAUUGGGGUAGGUGGUGGGAUCAAAAAUUGUCCAGAGAAAUUUUUGCGAACUUUCUUGUCGCAGAUAAAUUUUUACGUCAUAACAUAUCUGUUAUUUGAUUGGUUGGCUAAAUAUAAAAAUUAGAUAAUUCUAUAAUAUACACUUAGUUCAAAUUGACUGUUUAAUUAAAAUAGAAAUUGUCCACAUAGACAUAAAUGAAUUUAUUAAAUAAAUUAGAUUUUAUGUCUAAUGUGACCAGUGUUAUAAAUGUAUAUCAAAACUGAGAAUACCAAAUAUAGACAGCCACUUAUAUCAGGACACACCUUGCUCGGUUUUUUGGAGGCAAUAGUAACAAGGAAAAGAUUCCAAUCAAAAUGUCAUUUAUUAAAAACGACGAUCAAAAUUAUUUACAACAACAGGGGAGUUAAUCUUACAAAUGGUAACAUUUAAAUGCCCCUGAUUUAACUCC